rnacentral:rRNA from 1 species
AGUUUUUGAUCCUGGCUCAGGAUUAACGCUGGCGGCAUGCCUAAUACAUGCAAGUCGAACGCUGAGACUUAUUUAGCUUGCUAGAGUAUGAAGAGUUGCGAACGGGUGAGUAACGCGUAGGUUAACCUGCCUACUAGCGGGGGAUAACUAUUGGAAAACGCUAGCUAAUUACCGCAUAAUAGUGUUUAACACAUGUUAGAUGUUGAAAGGUGCAAAUUGCUUCACUAUUAGAUGGACCUGCGUGUAUUAGCUAGUUGGUGAGGUAACGGCUCACCAAGGCGACGAUGCGUAGCCGACCUGAGAGGGUGAUCGGCCACAAUGGGACUGAGACACGGCCCAGACUCCUACGGGAGGCAGCAGUAGGGAAUUUUGCACAAUGGGCGAAAGCCUGAUGGAGCAACGCCGCGUGAGUGAUGAAGGUCUUCGGAUUGUAAAGCUCUGUUGUAAGAGAAGAACGUGUGUGAGAGUGGAAAGUUCACACAGUGACGGUAACUUACCAGAAAGGGACUGGCUAACUAUGUGCCAGCAGUCGCGGUAAUACAUAGGUUUGCAAGCGUUAUCGGAUUUACUGGGCGUAAAACGAGCGCAGGCGGCUAAAUAAGUCUGGUGUUAAAGGCUAUAGCUUAACUAUAAGUAUGCAUUGGAAACUGUUUAGCUAGAGUGUGGUAGAGAGUUCUGGAACUCCAUGUGGAGCGGUGAAAUGCGUAGAUAUAUGGAAGAACACCAGUUGCGAAGGCGGGAACUUAGGCCAUUACUGACGCUUAGGCUCGAAAGUGUGGGGAGCAAAUAGGAUUAGAUACCCUAGUAGUCCACACCGUAAACGAUGAGUAUUAGACGUUGGGAUUUUAAUAAUUUCAGUGUUGACGUUAACACAUUAAAUACUCUGCCUGGGUAGUACAUACGCAAGUAUGAAACUCAAACGGAAUUGACGGGGACCCGCACAAGUGGUGGAGCAUGUUGCUUAAUUCGACGAUACACGAAAAACCUUACCACGAUUUGACAUCCUUGGCGAAGCUAUAGAAAUAUAGUAGAGGUUAACCGAGUGACAGGUGGUGCAUGGUUGUCGUCAGCUCGUGUCGUGAGAUGUUGGGUUAAGUCCCGCAACGAGCGCAACCCUUGUUAUUAGUUAUUUUGUCUAGUAAGACUGCCAGCGUAAGUUGGAGGAAGGUGGGGAUGACGUCAAAUCAUCAUGCCCCUUAUGUCGUGGGCUGCAAACGUGCUACAAUGGUCGGUACAAACAGUUGCCAAACUGUAAAGUUGAGCUAAUCUGAAAAGCCGAUCUCAGUUCGGAUUGAGGGCUGCAAUUCGUCCUCAUGAAGUCGGAAUCACUAGUAAUCGCGUAUCAGCUAUGGCGCGGUGAAUACGUUCUCGGGUCUUGUACACACCGCCCGUCAAGCUAUGGAAGCUGGUAAUAUUUGAAACCGAGUUGCUAACUGCAAAGAGGCGCUCGUCUAGGGUAGGACCGGUAACUGGAGUUAAGUCGUAACAAGGUACCCCUACGAGAACGUGGGGGUG